rnacentral:lncRNA from 1 species
GAGCUACCAGCGACCAGCGGCAGUGGGUGCGGCUGGGCACUCGCUCCAUUUCUACCACCUUUGGCUGAGCAGACGGUUGGGUUGGUGUACGACUGAUCAACAUUAAGGUCAAUCCGUGAGGUACCCGAUUGCUACACUGUUUGGCCGUGCAGCAGAAACUGCAGUUCACCAUGAAACUCUUGGAAGUUGUCCUCUUUCUGAGUUUUAUUGGAGGCAUCAUGGGCCUCUCCUGCUAUGAUUGCAGCUUUACUGAGAGCUGCUCCGAUCCAUUCACACCCAGUGACUCCCUGAAAAAAACCUGUUCGUCUCUGGACGGUGCCUGCUACAAACUGAAGGCCGAGGGCAGCGGCGUGAGCAUAAUUCAAAGAUCGUGUGUGCCGGCUGCAUCAUGUUUAAUAUGAAUGACUGUUUCAGCGCCUCGUAUCAGGGCGCUACGGCCACGGCUUGUUGCUGCACUGGGAACUACUGUAACGGAGCCAGCUCGCUGGGGGUGACGUCCGUCAUGGUCACUGCCGCCGUAGGCCUGGUGGCCAUGGCCAUAGUGGUGUAAAGACAGAGACACAGAUAAGAAUCUGCCAUGAUAGCUUACAGUUUAAUCAGCUGCAGCCUAUAGAGUGCUUUCGCAAAAUUUAGUGUUUCGUAAAUCACUGUGCUUUCAAGGGAGCGAUCGCGGGCAAAUAGCCCACGGAGCGCUCGGCCAUUCAUGAAUUUGUGUCUCCUGUUCGGGUGUAUCCUCUGUAUGUUAAUUCAGUACGCAGGCCAAUUUUUGAAGCAUGGAACGCUCUAUUUCCUAAAUGAUGCCAAAAAAUCACUGCUUUCCGAGAGUCUCAUUACACAUGCAGAUGACACAUAGGGAGACCGUGGAAAAAUAAAUAGUGUGGUAAGAAAAUGAAGCAGGAACAAUCAUAGAAAACAAAGAUGCGCCAAUAAUUACAAAAGGCACAUCCUCCUGCCACAGAAGACAACCAUGUGAAAAAGGACAUUAUAAGGAUGCACUUCAUAAGAACAAAUCUAAAACUUCAGACGAUGCUUGAUAAACAUGGCGAUCAAAAACCAAAAGUUAAAAAAAAUCAAACCAGUUCAAGAGCCUUUUCCUGAAGUGACCUAUCGACCCACUCGUACCCUGUAAAUCGUGCGUUGUAGACAACUUACGAAACUGGUAAGAGCGAUUUGCGAAGUUCAUUGACAACAGUUUGGCAGCCCCUUCCCUAUAAGCUCGAAAAGCUUUUUACACUGACGUUAUGAAACUAACCACACAAAACACAAUGAGGGGAUAUAGCUAAAUUGACUGGCAGACAAUGACAGGUUGCCAAAUUAAUUGGUAGAUGAGGGGACCCAGCAGUGUUGUAGUCGAGACCGCCACAAGGUUAUGCGCAAGACCAUACGCAAGACCAUUCGCGAGACCAAUCCCAACUUCCCUCGGGACGGUGUGAACUAUGACAAUGAAUGCAUAAUUGAAUUCAGACUGGAGGUCUUAACUGGGUUGGUCUUUUUGUGAUGACCUUAUGGGGUAGGUCCUGUGGACCUCUCAGAGAUGUUUCGACUACAACUCUGGUCGAUUGGUGGCAGCAUACAUGACACCAACUGUAAACGGGCACUCUAUAAAGGCAGCCUAUAGUAGCCACAGAAAAACCUACCCCAAUACGCAUUCACACUUACCGUAGGGGAAAAGUCUGCUACCUUCGACAGUUAAAACUGCCCUUCUAGUUUGUGCUUGUCAUCCACGUUACUGGUUAGCAUUUCAACUACAACAAACAAAUAAACCGAAAAAACGUUGGUGUUUGAAUUAAACAGCUUUUCCAUCAGUGUAGUGUGGUCCUAGUCCGGCCUUGUGGAUACAAGUGUUCAGUAUCCACUGCAUGUUUCUGCCACGCAAUACAGUUGAAAUGGCAAGAGGCAUACCCAAUUCCUUUCUUCUCUUAACUUGCCUUAGCAAAAGUAAAGAAACAAAAAAAGCAAAAAAAAUCUUCUCCUUUAGAGUCUUCGAAUUGCAUUGCUCAAGGAAAAGGCCUGUUAAAAAAAAUAACACUCGUGUAAUAAAGCAGCAUCAUGUAGAAAUCGGCUCGUGUGGUAUUAUGAAGAGUCAAGGCUGAGUAAAAUUGCUAUGAAGUCUUGAAUGCUUGUGAAUAGCGUUGAAAAUUAAAGGUCUGACAUUCAUGAUGUAGCUAUCUCCAAUGCACUGGGGUAUAUAGGUUCGAUAUAGUGAUCAGUAAAGAGGCAUGAAGAAAGAUACAUAAAUACGAUGGCCUUGAUGUGCCAAUUUUAAGAAAAUCAAAGUGCGGGUUAAUUAACUUUUAAGUCGUCCGAAGACUGCCACAUCAAAACCAACGAAGUUCUGGUCUCAAUACAGAAAAAUUUUAAUCUUCUAGUAAAAAACUGAAAUAUGGAUUAUUAUAAUAGCUGUCCCAGAUCCAUUUUGUCUAAAUUAUAAAGUAAAAAUGUAUUUGUAAUAAUCAAACUUUUGUAAAUUGAAAUCAUUUCUACGUUUAUGCGAUAUGUUGCAGAUGAGAACGUUACACAUGAAUAAAUGAUGACAAACA